rnacentral:lncRNA from 1 species
AUGCUGCAAGUACGCCAUCGCUCCGCUUGAAUCAGUAGCAGUGUUUAAAAUGAGGAGGUGCCAGUUCUUCAGGGCGUCAUACCACGAACCGGGUUCGAUCCUUAAUCUCGGACGUCAGUGGCAACUACAGGUGAUGUCAUGCGUCUGAGUCGGGCUACUGGGAUUGUAUCGAGAAAGCACACCGUGCAUAAGUGAAAAUGUGGCAAUUUCGCUUUUUCCUGUGUGCAAAGAACCAGCAGACGUGCCCGCACUUGUGUUACUAACCAUGCUUUCCUUUGUCCAUGCAACGUUACUGAUAACAGUCGCAAGAUUCACACUGCGUUAUUCGUAUUGAUUCUGUGCAGGAACUCCCUCUGUCCCGCUCCCGCUGCCCAUAAAUGUGUCUUGAUCUACCAACAACCUGAAACUUGAUUUCCAGCAAACGCUGACGUGAGUCGCAAUCCCAUGUCUGCUUCCUCUUGUACGAUAUUUAGGGCGUUGUGUUCAUUUCUGACAGACUGUAGGCAUUAGGUCAGGCAUUUCCAAUUCAGUCCAGAGUGGUCAUUUAAACGAGAGUGUCAAACGCAGCGGUGAGUCACUCGCAAGAGAGCAAGACUGUCGGAGGACAGAGGGUGAUCACAGGGGGAGUUCGUUAUUCUUUUUUGGCAAGCGCGUUAGUUCGAGGAGUAUUUGUGUUGGAACCCUGUGCGUCGUGAGGCGACGCAGCAACACAGUUCAGGAAAUGUUAAGCAUGGUAUUGAUGUCCCACAUCGUGCUACGUUCACUCUGAGGCUGACGACAAGUCCCAUCAGUAGAAAUGAAGCGGUGUUGCAAGGGGCGACGGUUGCGCAAUGCACGGCAAUAUUCAUCGGCGGUAGGGAUUAGGCAGCAAGUUGAAAUGUCUUUGAAUUGAAAAGUCAUUUCACACGUCAGAUGAGGCGUAAUUAUCAGGGAAGCCUGGCGGGUUGAACCCAGUCUCUCAUAAGGGUGGAUAUGCUCACGAUGUGGCUCCUUCUGCGUCUUUGGCUUAAUCGGGUCUAGAUGAUGUUG